GAUGAACGUUGGCGGUGUGCCUAAUACAUGCAAGUCGGACGGGGAGUGCAAAGUAGUAAUACCUUGUGCUCUUAGUGGCGAACGGGUGAGUAACGCGUUGGUGACCUGCCCCGAAGUGUGGAAUAACAGUUCGAAAGAAUUGCUAAUACCGCAUAUGAUCAUUUAGCUUGAAUACUUUUUGAUCAAAGGAUUUAUUCGCUUCGGGAGGGGCCUGCGUCCCAUCAGCUAGUUGGUGAGGUAACGGCCCACCAAGGCGACGACGGGUAGGGGGCCUGAGAGGGUGGCCCCCCACAAUGGAACUGAAACACGGUCCAUACACCUACGGGUGGCUG
rnacentral:rRNA from 1 species